AUAUGUGUCAGAAAAUUUCAUAUAUUUUCAGGAAAAUAUCCCAGCAUUCAAACUGAGUGUGAAUUUUGCGCAGCGGUCGAAAUAGGCUGUGGGCUGUGGGCUGUGGGCUGUGGGCUGUGGGCUGUGGGCAGGUAUUUUAAAUCAGAAGAAAGGAAAAUCCCUGGCUGGCGCUUUUACGACAGCCAGGAAAUAAGCAUUAUGACUGAACGUGCAGUACAUCGGGCGGUAAAGAGACGCUCAAAAUUACCGGCUUAAAUGAGCUGGAUUUACUCAACCAUACAGAGAUACCUUUAGCCACGAUAAAGCCGCCAACACCGCCCAGUAGGGCACCAAAUGCUGCGGCAGUGUCGGUGUGAAAAAGCAUCUGAAACAACCCUGCACAGAGAAAUAAUCCAAGUAAAGGGGUCAUAUAAACCAGCAGUGCUGAACUGAGUAAACUUUUUUCUUCAAUACCCAGUUCAAUGCGCUGGCCGGGUAUCAGCGGCUCAGCGCUGGCUAUUUUCAUCACGUGGGCAUUUUUUGGCCCCAGCUUAUUCAGCAUCUGGCUGCCACAUCCUUUACGCGCCGAGCAACUGUUGCAGGACGUUUUCAUUUCGCUGUGCAGCGUUGCAAUGCCGUCCUGCCACGAAACCACCGUGGCCCAUUCUCUCAUCAUGGUGUCGACCUCAGGUCAAUACUGCCCGCAAUACGU
rnacentral:ncRNA from 1 species